rnacentral:rRNA from 1 species
ACGGGAAGUAGCGAACGGGUGAGUAACGCGUGGGCAACCAACCUUACACAGGGGGAUAACACAGAGAAAUUUGUGCUAAUACCGCAUAAGCGCACAGUACCACAUGGUACGGUGUGAAAAACUCCGGUGGUGUAAGACGGGCCCGCGUCUGAUUAGCUAGUUGGUGGGGUAAGAGCUCACCAAGGCGACGAUCAGUAGCCGACCUGAGAGGGUGAUCGGCCACAUUGGGACUGAGACACGGCCCAAACUCC